GACGAACGCUGGCGGCGUGCCUAAUACAUGCAAGUAGGACGCAGUUGCGAACGGGUGAGUAACGCGUAGGUAACUACCUAUUAGAGGGGGAUAACUAUUGGAAACGAUAGCUAAUACCGCAUACUAGUAGAUGGACCUGCGUUGUAUUAGCUAGUAGGUAGGGUAAUGGCCUACCUAGGCAACGAUACAUCGCCGAACUGGGAGGGUGAUCGGCCAAAGGUGGACGGAGACAAGGGCCAGACUCCUACGGGAGGCAGCAGUAGGGAAUCUGCGGCAAUGGGGGGAAACCUGACCGAGCAACGCCGCGUGAGGGAAGAAGGUUUUCGGAUCGUAAAGCUCUGUUGUUAAGGAGGCGGUACUUAACCAGAAAGGGACGGCUAACUACGUGCGAGCAGCCGCGGUAAUAC
rnacentral:rRNA from 1 species